rnacentral:lncRNA from 1 species
GUUGCAUCCUAACCCUAACUUGUGGGCAUGCUGUGGGGACUGCUAGCCCUGAGAACUGUUCGAGCUGGGAAGAAAGUGAUGUAAGUGAUACGAAGACCCUGACAGCCUCAGCCCUGAAUUGAUAGACGUUCUUCAACCACUCUGAUAUGAGCUGUCAAUGCAGCUCCACCCCAAUCACCAUGGAAGCCGCCGGGCAUUGUGGGAAAUUCUGCGAGCUAUUUGCUGAGCAAAAGUUGUCCCUGUCCAAGGGAACAACACAGAUGAUGCCUGACCCUGUGCUGUGGCAUAGGAGUGAGAUUCAGCUCUUGGACUUCAGGUGCUGGGUGAAGCAGGGUGUAGGGGUGCUGGUGAAGAUGUCAGAGUCCCCAAAGAGCCUGGAAACCCUGUGUGUGGCAGCACCGACAUGGUCAGGAAUUGGUCUCGGGAUUGAGGGGAGGGAAGGCAGGGCUUUUGGAUGCCAGUUGAUUUCAGCAUCAAGCUGGAAUUUCUGUGCCAAACAUCGAUCAGGAAGAUUCAUCAGUGCCCAGAGAAGGCCCUUGAACAAGGGGCUCACAGGACUUCAAGCUGGGGUGCAGAGCUAGGGUUUGGCCACAGGAGGAACUGACUUGAGACCACCUGGUUAGGGCCCCAGUAGUAAGGAGACCAGGGGCUACAAUGAGGGAAGAGGGAGGCUGUGGCCUUCAGUCAGAGCAGGAGUCUGGUGAUGAAUUCCUCCCCAGUGGAAUCAAUAAGAGGGGCAGCAAACAUUUCUACAACCCACUGACAAGCCUGAGAUCAGCUGCAUGCAAUUUGCUCCUAUAAAGUGAUACCAGAACCAACAAUAAUCCAUUCUGAGUAACUUUUUACUUGGCUUCUCUCCUUUAAAGGACAAGGCUCAGCAGAAGAAGAUGUGCUCUACAGAAUGAAGUGGUGUGGUGGAGAAGGGACAGGUGGUCAUAACUGUGAGACUCACACACUGCUUUUCAUCCUCAUCCAUGAGCUAAUCUGCCCUCACCACGAGUCUGUGAGGUAUGCAAGGAUUAUAUUUCUUCUUGUUAUAUCCAUGAGGAACCUGAGAGAUUUCUGGAAAGCCUGGGAUAAGCAACUAAUGUGUCAAAGGACUGCUAAAUCCAGUCUUGACUCUAGCUCCGUCAUAUGCCACUGCCUCAGCCAGAAGAACACACCACCUUCGGAGAUGCUGUGGGCAUGGCCACCAGUCCUCCCUCUUCCCUUUCUUCAUCAUUACUGUCAUCCUCCUCAUCCCACCAUCAUCACCAUUGUCAUCUGCUUCAUCCUAAAGGUACUGCCGGGAAUAGGUAAAUGGCAUCGAACAACAGAACAAAGUGGGCUCCCUCUGGAAUGCGAAUGGGAAACUCAGUACAAUCAGCACAGCAGGUAAUAAAUUCAGGGAAUUGAACCCUUGGGAAACUAGAAGAAAUCGCAUUGACCACAGGCUGGGCAGAGAAGGCUGAGAAGCCCAAAUUGGAGCAACAAAUGCUUUGCCAUCUGAAGAGGGUGACACAGCCAUCUUGAAGAGGGGAGUGCUGUGCUCUCCCUUCGAGCUGCAUAUGAGGGUCUAGUCACAGAAGAAGAGCUGAGCCUGAAAACUCCACACCACCCUUCUAGUGAUGCUUUUUCCUGAUAGAGCCCACUUUAAAAAGAUGAUCGUUUUGGAAACAGUGAUCUUCUCCGUCUAGUUCAUUUGAAGCCUCUGCCCGAGCCGAGAGAUUUUGAUGCCAGAAACAAAUGCCAAAUGGCAGAAGGGAAUGGACCGCAGAGCUGCCUCUCGAGCGGUGUAGAUAUCUGAAGUGAAGCACUGUGGGUGCAGACUGGGACAGAGAAGAGGCCAGAGAUCGGUGACCUGACAAGGGCUUCCGUCUGCGCCCCGGUGGUGACACCUUGAUUUAGGACCUGGAGAAGGCAUCCUUUACACGAAAAACAGUAUCUCUGCUAGCUGCUGAGUGCGAAUGUACUCAGUGGUGAGAUGCUAUAGGCGUUCUUCCCAAAGUCAAGAU